UCCAGAAGUUUUGCAAGAGAAACAUAAAAAGUAGCGAGGAUUUUGGCCGUAAAAUCACACAAUUUCGAAGGUAUUGCUGCUGUUGGGGUAGCUGAGUGCCCUCCGUUGGGUGGAGGAAUUUGUUUCUCUCGCUGAUGUUGGACCCUUUGCUGGCUGGUGAACAGCAACGAAGUUUGAUAGGACGUGUCGAUUUCGUGAUGAACGUGAUGGUGACACUGGAUAAUUGGUGGAUGAGAUGCACGGCCGGAACCGGAACGCGAUGGCCUGGUAAGCUUCUGAAGCAGAUGACGAAGUUGGUGAUGGAUGCAUUUGGUCAAUUGUAUAGCCUGUCGAUAUCCGACCAGAGGCUGAUUGCUGAUUCUUCCAAAUUGGUCCAUGUAUCCACCUGUCGACGUUCGACCGGAGGUUGAUACAAGACGUGUGCUGAACUGAAGAUUCACAUGUCAACCUGUCGACAUUCGACCGGAGGUUGAUAAGGGGCUUGUGAUUGAUGAAGAAACCGUAGACCAAUGCUCGUUGCGAUGACCAACCUCAUUCGAUACUCAACCCGUCGACCUUCGACCAGGGGUUAGCACCUGAA